GAUGAUUAUUAGGGUGAGACACACACACUUACACACACACAUACACAACAAUGAUGACUCUUAUUCUAAUGCUGGGGACACUCUGUCUGCUUGCUCAAGUGUCUCAUCAAGAGGCCCAGACUCCUGAGUCUUUGCUUGUUAAAGCAGGAGAUUCAGUCUCUAUAAGCUGCACUGGGACCAGUGGAGUUGAUGAUGACAUGAGCUGGUAUCUGCAGAAACCUGGAGAAGCUCCUAAACUCCUGAUCUAUAAAGCAAGUCGACUUGAAUCCGGAGUCCCAGAUCGGUUCAGUGGAAGUGGAUCUGAACCUGAUUUUACACUGAACAUUCGUGGAGUCCAGCCUGAGGAUGCAGGAGAUUAUUACUGUAUGGGGGCUUAUAGUGGUGCAUUCACACAGUGAAACAUCUUCAUACAAAAACCUCCCUCAGUCAGACACUACAGAGAAGAGGAGAAUCAGUUGCCCUGUAACAGCUGAGCAACAGUUAAAGUAGCAAUACAUAUUUUAUUUUCAGUUAUUUCAUUAUUUGUUCACUUUAAUUUUCAUUUUUGAUUUCAGAAGAAAUUAAUAUGUGAAAUUUUGGGCUUAGUGUCAUUGUGGACAGAAGCUUGUUUUUUUCUUUAAAGACUGAAAUAAGCUUUAUUGUAUACAGAUAAUCACAUUCUGACAUCACAUUAUGCUGUAAAUGAACAUGUGAACUCAUGCCAUA